rnacentral:rRNA from 1 species
UACAGAGGGUGCAAACGUUGCUCGGAAUUAUUGGGCGUAAAGCGCAUGUAGGCGGCAUAGUAAGUUCACUGUGAAAGCCCUUGGCUCGACCAAGGAAGUGCAGUGAAAACUGCUAAGCUCGAGUUCUGAAGAGGGUCGCGGAAUGGCCAGUGUAGAGGUGAAAUUCGUAGAUAUUGGCUAGAACACCAGUGGCGAAGGCGGCGACCUGGGAAGAUACUGACGCUGAGGUGCGAAAGCGUGGGGAGCAAACAGG